rnacentral:misc_RNA from 1 species
GAUGAAGAACGUAGCGAAAUGCGAUACGUAAUGUGAAUUGCAGAAUUCAGUGAAUCAUCGAAUCUUUGAACGCAUAUUGCGCUCUCUGGUAUUCCGGAGAGCAUGCUUGUUUGAGUAUCAGUAAACACCUCAACUCCCUUUUCUUUUUUGAAAUUGGAGCUGGACUUGAGUGAUCCCAACGCUUUCUUCCAAGAAAGUGGCGGGUUGCUUGAAAUGCAGGUGCAGCUGAACUUUUCUCUGAGCUAUAAGCAUAUCUAUUUAGUCUGCCUAAAAAACAGAUUAUUACCUUUGCUGCAGCUAACAUAAAGGAGACUAGUUCUUGUGCUGACUGAUGCAGGAUUCACAGAGACAGCUUCGGCUGACUUUGUAAACUCGAUCUCAAAUCAAGUAAGACUACCCGCUGAACUUAAGCAUAUCAAUAAGCGGAGG